rnacentral:lncRNA from 1 species
UAACAUCUCGCGGUAAGUUUCUUCUGUUUCAUCACAUUUGAGGACAUUUAAAGUCAACUUUUUCUUCUACAAGAAUGUCGAAAGUCGUUAUAUCUUCUACUCUAUUCAAUCGAUUGCUAGAUCUAUCGUAAGUUUCAAAAUUACUACAUGUUUCUCUCUGCGUCAUUUUUAAUAAAAAUAGUAGGGAUACAUAUCAAACCGACGAUUAGGCAAUUUGAAUUAACAUUAUAUUAUGUCUCGGGCAUUUGAGAUAUCAAAAUUUCUUGAAUACCAACAAUUUUUAUUAAAGAAUUCUGUCUUGAUUAUUGGCAAAAUGAAUUAUUAGACAUGGAUUAGUCAAAGGAAGAUAAGCUGUUCUUGUUCUGACCCUUAUUACAGAGAUCAUAAUAACAUGGAAGGAGUCCUAGGCAUGUGAGCACAUGAAACUAUUUUCAUGCCAUGUGAUGAGACUGUAUUUCCCAACCAAAUCAAGAACAUGUAUGUAUAGGAUUUGUGAGUUCACAGAAGUACCCUUUGGAAAGUUCAGAUUUUUGUUGGUAAAUUUUGUUAUUUCUGAAAUUUGGGUAUGGGGUUUUUUGUCAUUAUGUAAUACAAGUUGUAGUUAAUCAUGCCUAGUUCUUGAAAAGCUUGGAUUAAGAUUUGGAGAGCUAAUGUAUGUUAAAGACAGCUAAUCAACAUUGGGUAAAUCUUUUUGAAUGUUGUGUAUGUACUGUCAUA